ACUCAUGUGUCGGACGUGAAAUACCGGGGCUUACCCCGGUGCUGCGUCCGAAACUAUGAGUCUAGAGACUUGGAGGGGUAAGCGGAAUUCUUGGUGGAGCAGUGAGAUGCGUAGAUAUCAAGAGGAACACCAACGGCGAAGGCAGCUUACUGGACAAGAUCUGACGCUCAGGCUCGAAAGCGUGGGGAGCAAAAGGGAUUAGAUACCCCUGUAGUCCACGCUGUAAACGGUGCGCAUUAGGUCUUGGAGCUUUCGAACGCUCCAGGGCUCAAGCUAACGCGAUAAAUGCGCCGCCUGAGGACUACGGCCGCAAGGCUAAAGCUCAAAGGAAUUGACGGGGGCCCGCACAAGCGGUGGAGCAUGUGGCUUAAUUCGAUGCAACGCGAAGAACCUUACCUAGGUUUGACAUGGACGUGGUACCCGGGGCGAAAGCUUUGGGGACCCGCAAGGGAGCGUUCACAGGUGCUGCAUGGCUGUCGUCAGCUCGUGUCGUGAGAUGUUCGGUUAAGUCCGGCAACGAGCGCAACCCUCGCCUCCAGUUACCAGCGAGUAAAGUCGGGGACUCUGGAGGGACUAACCCGUUAGGGUGGGAAGGUGGGGAUGACGUCAAGUCAGUAUGGCCCUUACAUCUAGGGCUGCACACGUGCUACAAUGCCUGGUACAAAAGGAACCAAUACCGCGAGGUGGAGGAAAUCCCUAAAGCCAGGCCCAGUUCAGAUUGGAGUCUGCUACUCGACUCCAUGAAGCCGGA
rnacentral:rRNA from 1 species